GGGUUUGAGAUUUUGUCUGUCGGCUUUCUAACAUCUAUUCCAUAUGUGUGUCAGUGGAUAAUCUCACUGCUUGCGUCAUCCAUAGCAGACGCUCUGAGUGGUCGAAAUAUCCUAAGUAGAACAUCGGUGCGGAAAUUUACAAUUUGUUCAGGAGCACUGAUAAUGGCCGCUUGUUUUU